UACAGAGGGUGCAAGCGUUGUUCGGAAUUACUGGGCAUAAAGAGCACGUAGGUGGUUCGCUAAGUCACGUGUGAAAUCCCCCGGCUCAACCGGGGAAUUGCGCGUGAUACUGGCGGACUCGAGGCGGGUAGGGGUGAGCGGAACUCCAGGUGGAGCGGUGAAAUGCGUAGAUAUCUGGAGGAACACCGGUGGCGAAAGCGGCUCACUGGACCUGAUCUGACACUGAGGUGCGAAAGCUAGGGUAGCAAACGGG
rnacentral:rRNA from 1 species